rnacentral:rRNA from 1 species
UGGGAAAGCYUUYGCGGYAUGGGAUGGGGUCGCGUCCUAUCAGCUUGAYGGCGGGGUAACGGCCCACCGUGGCUUCGACGGGUAGCCGGCCUGAGAGGGCGACCGGCCACAUUGGGACUGAGAUACGGCCCAGACUCCUACGGGAGGCAGCAGUGGGGAAUAUUGCACAAUGGGCGCAAGCCUGAUGCAGCGACGCCGCGUGAGGGAUGGAGGCCUUCGGGUCGUAAACCUCUUUUAUCGGGGAGCAAGCGAGAGUGAGUUUACCCGUUGAAUAAGCACCGGCUAACUACGUGCCAGCAGCCGCGGUAAUACGUAGGGUGCRAGCGUUAUCCGGAAUUAUUGGGCGUAAAGGGCUCGUAGGCGGUUCGUCGCGUCCGGUGUGAAAGUCCAUCGCUUAACGGUGGAUCCGCGCCGGGUACGG